GAUGAACGCUGGCGGCGUGCUUAACACAUGCAAGUCGAACGAUGAGGCCCAGCUUUUGGGGUGGAUUAGUGGCGAACGGGUGAGUAACACGUGAGUAAACUGCCCUUAUCUCUGGGAGAAGCCUGGGAGACUGGGUGUAAUACCGGAUAGGAGCUUUCUUCGCCUGGUGGGUGUUGGAAAGAUUUAUCGGUUUUGGAUGGACUCUCGGCGUAUCAGCUUGUUGGUGAGGUAUUGGCUCACCAAGGGGACGACGGGUAGCCGGCCUGAGAGGGUGACCGGCCACACUGGGACUGAGACACGGCCCAGAAUCCUACGGGAGGCAGCAGUGGGGAAUAUUGCACAAUGGGCGCAAGCCUGAUGCAGCGACGCCGCGUGAGGGAUGACGGCCUUCGGGUUGUAAACCUAUUUCAGUAGGGAAGAAGCGAAAGUGACGGUACCUGCAGAAGAAGCACCGGCUAACUACGUG
rnacentral:rRNA from 1 species